CACGCAAGCACCACAGAAAGGAUGAGUGCGGUACGCAUUGUGAGGUAGAGGCAUGUUCGAAGGCAAACGUGUGGGCUGGUUCUGUCAGAGAGGCACAAGGCAAACAAAGCUGCUCGGUCAUGUCUGAGAGCGCCAUGAAUAAUCUCUGAUUGAGCCCAAUUAUCACAGCAGACAUAUCUGACAGAAACAGAGGCGGAGGCAAAAUGAGAAAGCCUUCUCCGGAGGACGAGAUCUGGGAGUUUAUCCUCAAACGCAGAAUAACAGCAUGCUGUGUCAGCAGUCUGGUCUGAAACCUGUCAUGAAUUUAAGGGGACGGAGAUGUUGUCCAACCUAUGGAAGGAAAACAGAGAGGGAGAAAAUGAAAGGGAAAGAGAGGGCAUCGUGCUGCUCGCAAACUGACAAUUCCAGCGACUCUGUCAGACAGCAGUUGACUGCUACUCUGCUAUUCCUGUUAGAGGGCUGAACCCACUCUGCCUUGUUGGCACAGAUAUUUUUAGCCCUGGCGUUUGGCAGAGAGACCAGCACUAAGAGUGAUGGGGCCACACAGGCCUCCAACUGCAAAAGGGCAGUGGUGGGAUGAAGAGGGCGGAGGCGGGCAAGGUCACAUGAGGCCACUUGAGACGAGAGACUGGAGGAUGAGGUGAUGAGAUCUGGUGAUUGAGUCUUGUUGAAUCUGUCUUUGACAAACUGUAUCUUACACCUGUGAAAAGGCUAGCAUGGUCAUUUUCUUAAAUAUUCAAUUUUAUUUAGAUAUAAAACUACAACUAAAAUGAUGGAAAUAUAUGGAAUCCUGAUUCUGGCACAGAAUUAAAAAUGAAAAAGGUAAUUGCGACUGACCAUUUUUCUCGCAAUGCUGAGUUUAUAUCUCACAAUUCACACAAUUCUGAGAAAAAGUCCAAACUUUGAGACAUAAAGUCACACUUC